rnacentral:sRNA from 1 species
CGCCAAUAUUCUUAAGUGAUACUUUAUUUAUAACUACACGAUGGCCUGUCGUUGGUAUUAGACUGGUGGAAAACAUCCUCAAAGCUGCUCUAUACUUGCUCGAUCGUUAUUUGAAUAGCGAUUUCGAGAUACCUACCUCCCUGUCCGAUAUCCGAUCGACCACUAUUUGAAUGGAUAUUCCUAGCUAGCAAGGUGCCUGUCUGAUAUCUGCUACAUCGCUAUUAGAUUGAGAUUUCUAUUCAAAUAGAUAUUCCUGGCUAGCUCUGCUCUAUAUCCCUCAGAUCCCUAUUCAAAUAGAGAUUGCUACCUAGCUAGCUAUAUCCGCUUGAUCCCUAUAAGAAUGGAGAUUUCCAGUUAGCUAGCUGACUGCUUGCCCACCCACUACAUUUUCCCUCAUCUACACUAGCUCCAGAGCUUCCCUCCGUAGUUACUCUGCAGUGCUCUAUUGCUCUUGUGCCCUGCAUCCCCUAUAAAGUAUAUAGAUGAUCUUGAUAUUAUAGAUAGAUGUGGUGUUGAAUGAUGAUGAUUUUUUGAAGAUCAGAUAAUUAUUACCAUUGCAGUGUGAUUAGGUGUUUGGACUUCUAGGCGAGGUCACAUCAAACUCAAAAUGGGUCAUUCUCAGCAGCAACAGCUACAACAGAUAUAUACUUGGUACAUAGCAAAUAUACAUGAUGGGAAUCAAUGCAUUCACGCUCAAACACAGAAUGGUAGUAAAUGUACUGUACAUACAAUUAUCAAUAAUGACAUAGACAAGAACACAGGUC